UACGAAGGGGGCUAGCGUUGUUCGGAUUUACUGGGCGUAAAGCGCACGUAGGCGGAUCGUUAAGUCGGGGGUGAAAUCCUGGAGCUCAACUCCAGAACUGCCUUCGAUACUGGCGAUCUUGAGUCCGGAAGAGGUGAGUGGAACUCCUAGUGUAGAGGUGGAAUUCGUAGAUAUUAGGAAGAACACCAGUGGCGAAGGCGGCUCACUGGCCCAUUACUGACGCUGAGGCACGAAAGCG
rnacentral:rRNA from 1 species